rnacentral:rRNA from 1 species
CCUACGGGUGGCAGCAGUGAGGAAUAUUGGUCAAUGGGCGGAAGCCUGAACCAGCCAAGUCGCGUGAGGGAUUAAGGCCCUGCGGGUCGUAAACCUCUUUUGCCGGGGAGCAGUGGUCCGGACGCGUCCGGACCGGGAGAGUACCCGGAGAAAAAGCCUCGGCUAACUCCGUGCCAGCAGCCGCGGUAAUACGGAGGAUGCGAGCGUUAUCCGGAUUUAUUGGGUUUAAAGGGUUCGUAGGCGGGCAUUUAAGCCGGCGGUCAAAUGUCGGGGCUCAACCCCGGCCUGCCGUCGGAACUGGGUGCCUUGAGUGGGCGAGAAGUAUGCGGAAUGCGUGGUGUAGCGGUGGAAUGCGUAGAUAUAUGGAAGAACACCAGUGGCGAAGGCGGCUCUCUGGUCUGCAACUGACGCUGAGGCUCGAAAGCAUGGGUAGCGAACAGGAUUAGAUACCCGAGUAGUC